rfam:Choloepus hoffmanni cont1.219696, whole genome shotgun sequence.
AAAGUGGCUUACGCAACUGCCAUGGACUGGUUCAUAGCCGUGUGCUAUGCCUUU